UAUAAUGACCUAUACUCUAUGUAAAAUUCAGUUUAAAUAACGCGUGUGUUUGUUCUCAUGCAGGACAGAUAAGGACAAGAUCAAUCAGUCUCCUUAUUUCACUGUUGACUACCAAGGUGAAGUCUCUGUCAGGAACGACAUAAAGGUGAUCAGCACCUGCGAGAUGCACCUUUACAAAUUCCCCUUUGACAGUCAGAGCUGCAACCUCACCUUCAGGUCUGCUAUGCACCCAGACAAGGAAAUUAAGCUUCGUCAUCAAGCUGGGUAUACAGAAAUGAUGUUUAUGCUCAGGGAGAAGUUCAAGACCCAUGAAUGGAUAUUGUUAAGCUUGUACAUCUCCGACCCAGAUGUUGAUGAUAUUGAGACUGAGCAGAGCAUGGUGGUUUACGAAGUAAGUAUUUCUGGAUACAGACAAAUGGAGGGGAAAGUGAAAAUUUUCCAUUCCACUUCUGUGUCUCAAG
rnacentral:lncRNA from 1 species